CAGUAUAAAACGAUAUGCAAUACAAAGAAAUGGGUAUUACGUUACAAUGGCUAAAUAGCAUUUCCUGUCAAGAAUUCUGACGAUUUAUGAGGUAUCCUUACACAGAUUGAAAGUGAAACUUUUCACAGCGAAGAACAGAAUUCCUCAAAGUGCAGCGUGAGGUCGUAAAGUUUAGCCGACAGUUAGAAUAACCCUUUCAAUGCUGGCUAGAUCUCCUAGGUAGUUAAGAU